GCAUAGCUCAGUGGUAAUGCCUCAGCUUUGCAUGCAGAAGGUCACAGGUUCAACCCCUGACAUCUCCA